GGAAAUAGCUCAUUGGCAGAGUGCAUGCUUAGCAUGCAUGAAGUCCUGGGUUCAAUCCUCAGUACCUCCA
rnacentral:tRNA from 1 species